rnacentral:rRNA from 1 species
UACAGAGGUCCCAAGCGUUGUUCGGAUUCACUGGGCGUAAAGGGUGCGUAGGCGGUCGGGUAAGUCUGAUGUGAAAUCUCACAGCUUAACUGUGAAACUGCAUUGGAUACUAUCCGGCUCGAGGAAUGGAGGGGAGACUGGAAUACUUGGUGUAGCAGUGAAAUGCGUAGAUAUCAAGUGGAACACCCGUGGCGAAGGCGGUGGCCUGGACCUGUUGCUGACGCUGAGGCGCGAAAGCGUGGGGAGCGAUCCGG